AUUGAACGCUGGCGGCAGGCCUAACACAUGCAAGUCGAGCGGAUGAAGGGAGCUCGUUCCUGGCUUCAGCGGCGGACGGGCGAGUAAUUCAUAGGAAUCUGCCUGGCAGUGGGGGAUAACGUCAGGAAACGGGCGCUAAUACCGCAUACGUCCUGAGGGUGAAAGUGGGGGAUCUUCGGACCUCACGCUACCAGAUGAGCCUAGGUCGGAUUAGCUAGUUGGUGGGGUAAAGGCCUACCAAGGCGACGAUCCGUAACUGGGCUGAGAGGAUGAUCAGUCACACUGGAACUGAGACACGGUCCAGACUCCUACGGGAGGCAGCAGUAGGGAAUCUUGGACAAUGGGCGAAAGCCUGAUCCAGCCAUGCCGCGUGUGUGAAGAAGGUCUUCGGAUUGUAAAGCACUUUAAGUUGGGAGGAAGGGCAGUAAGUUAAUACCUUGCUGUUUUGACGUUACCAACAGAAUAAGCACCGGCUAACUUCGUG
rnacentral:rRNA from 1 species